rnacentral:rRNA from 1 species
UGGGAUUAGAUACCCCACUAUGCCUAGCCGUAAACAAUUAACUUACACCAAAAAGCGCCAGGGAAUUACGAGCAAUGCUUAAAACCCAAAGGAUUUGACGGUGUCCCACCCACCUAGAGGAGCCUGUUUUAUAAUCGAUGAUCCCCGCUAUACCUAACCAUUCCUGGCUUUUCAGUCUGUAUACCUCCGUCGAAAGCCUACCAUGUGAACGUUUUUAGUAGGCCAAAUGACCCCAUCAAUACGUCAGGUCAAGGUGCAGCUCACGGAAUGGGAAGUAAUGGGCUACAAUUUCUAAUCUAGAACAAACGAAAUACUGCAUGAAACUGCAGUCACGAAGGCGGAUUUAGUAGUAAAAAGAAAAUAGAGAGUUCUUUUUAAUCUGGCUCUGGGACGCGUACACACCGCCCGU